GGGCAAUUGGUCUAGGGGUAUGAUUUUCGCUUCGCAUGUUCUUACCUCUGUAAGCUGCCCAUGUGAAAGGUCACCGGUUCGAAUCCGGUAUUGUCCA